rnacentral:rRNA from 1 species
AGUGAACGCUGGCGGCGUGCUUAACACGUGCAAGUCGAACGAGAACGGGUUAUAGCUUGCUAUAAUUGUCAGCUAAGUGGCGCACGGGUGAGUAAUGUAUAGGUAAUAUGCCUCUUACUAAGGGAUAACAAAUGAAAACGUUUGCUAAUACCUUAUACUCCUUAUUAACAGAAGUUAAUAAGGGAAAGAUUUAUUGGUAAGAGAUUAGCCUGUAUUGUAUCAGUUAGUUGGUGAGGUAAUGGCUUACCAAGACUAUGACACAUAACUGGUUUGAGAGGAUGAUCAGUCACACUGGAACUGAGACACGGUCCAGACUCCUACGGGAGGCAGCAGUGGGGAACAUUGCACAAUGGACGAAAGUCUGAUGCAGCAACGCCGCGUGGAGGAUGACACAUUUCGGUGCGUAAACUCCUUUUAUAUGAGAAGAUAAUGACGGUAUUAUAUGAAUAAGCACCGGCUAACUCCGUGCCAGCAGCCGCCGUAA